AUUGAACGCUGGCGGCAGGCCUAACACAUGCACGUCGAACGAGUGGCGGACGGGUGAGUAAUGUCUGGGAACCUGCCUGAUGGAGGGGGAUAACUACUGGAAACGGUAGCUAAUACCGCAUACCAUCGGAUGUGCCCAGAUGGGAUUAGCUAGUAGGUGGGGUAAAGGCGCACCUAGGCGACGAUCCCUAGCUGGUCUGAGAGGAUGACCAGCCACACGUGAACUGAGACACGGUCCAGAGGCCUACGGGAGGCAGCAUUGGGGAAUAUUGCACAAGGGGCGCAAGCCUGAUGCAGCCAUGCCGAGUGUAUUAAGAAGGCCUUCGGGUUGUAAAGUACUUCCAGCGGGGAGGCGUUACCCGCAGAAGAAGCACCGGCUAACUCCGUGCCAGCAGCCGCGGUAAUAC
rnacentral:rRNA from 1 species